CCUGCACGGUUUGUUUAUUCGGAUUGCUGUGAUAGUGUCAGAUUUCGCCUCGCUACCUCGAGGCCGGUGAGAACCCCGUCUUAUUUGGCGGGGUUUUGCUUUUUU
rfam:Pseudomonas sp. ABAC61 scaffold892_001, whole genome shotgun sequence.